rnacentral:rRNA from 1 species
CCUACGGGUGGCAGCAGUGAGGAAUAUUGGUCAAUGGCCGGAAGGCUGAACCAGCCAAGCCGCGUGAAGGACGAAGGUGCCAAGCAUUGUAAACUUCUUUUGUCAAGGGACAAAAUCAGGCUCGAGAGCCUGACCGAGGGUACUUGAAGAAAAAGCAUCGGCUAACUCCGUGCCAGCAGCCGCGGUAAUACGGAAGGUCCGGGCGUUAUCCGGAUUUAUUGGGUUUAAAGGGAGCGUAGGUGGGUCGUUAAGCGUGCCGUGAAAUUUUGUGGCUCAACCAUGAGAGUGCGGCGCGAACUGGAGACCUUGAGUGCGCGGAAGGAAGGCGGAAUUCGUGGUGUAGCGGUGAAAUGCUUAGAUAUCACGAAGAACCCCGAUUGCGAAGGCAGCUUACUAAACUGUGACUGACAUUGAUGCUCGAAAGUGUGGGUAUCAAACAGGAUUAGAUACCCGUGUAGUC